UUGUGAAGUAUUAUGUGCUAACAUUUCCUACAACCGGAGUAUAUAGAACAGGUUAGUGCAUCCGUUAACCUACUCGUAAACUCAAAACGAGCUGCUAUAUUCUUUUCGCACUAUAAAUUCCCGUUUACCACUAAAGAAUUUAAACGAUCAGGCUUGAUUGCUUUGGGUAUAAAAGGCACCAAUACUCGCAAACGAUUAAACAGAAAUCGUCGAACUUCAGCGCAAAGAUGAAGGCUAUCGUUGUAUGUGGUAUACUAGUCGUCUUCGCUGUAUAUUUGUUUCAUGUGCAAGCAGGUAAAAUGGGUUUAGUGUGCAGUGUGGCCUGUAAGGCUUGGAAUGCUUGUCAAGCACAGGUUGCGUUGACUGGAGGUCUUCCAACCUGUGGACCAGAACCUUCGGGGUGCGUUUGUAAGAAGUUCCCUUGGUCAUAACUCGUAACACAAGCAAAAUAUACAAUCGUUUACCUUCACUUUGUUACUACGGCGUUCAAUUUGACUAUAAAACGGAACGGCGGAAUUCUACAGGAUCAUAAUAUCUGUGCUACAAGUAUACGUAGAUGCUAGUCGUCGUCAUUCAUUCAAAUCGUUGGAACUGCUACGCGGGCGGCACGGGUUCGAUUCCCGAUCGAUACAGAUUUUUUAAUUCUGUAUAUUAGCAUGUCUACAUUUCGCCGAUCGUUCACGUAGGAUGUGACACUGGCCCGUAGGGGCUGGUUUUCUAGUAAUAAUUUAUACUAUAAGGAUUUCAUUUUGCAACGAACCGACCUUUAUAAUUUGUAAUUUUGAAAACAAAUAAAUUGUGAAAGGGCGUUUGAUGGCUAAUUUUAUAUUGGGAUUUGGCGUUCUGGGAUUGAACAAAAAAAAAAGAAUUCGCCAACCACUCACGACGAAACUGGGUACAUUGAUUAGGGCCGCG